UACAGAGGGUGCGAGCGUUGUUCGGAAUUAUUGGGCGUAAAGCGCUUGUAGGCGGCACGUCAAGUCGCGUGUGAAAUCCCCAGGCUUAACCUGGGAAGUGCGCGCGAAACUGACGAGCUUGAGUGCCGGAGAGGGUCGCGGAAUUCCCGGUGUAGAGGUGAAAUUCGUAGAUAUCGGGAGGAACACCAGUGGCGAAGGCGGCGACCUGGACGGACACUGACGCUGAGACGCGAAAGCGUGGGGAGUAAACAGG
rnacentral:rRNA from 1 species